rnacentral:tRNA from 1 species
UACGGGAUCGUCUAAUGGUAGGACACGUCCCUCUGGAGGAUGUUAUCUUGGUUCGAAUCCAAGUCCCGUAG